UGUGUCUUGAUUAUGGACGUGAUCCAACC
rnacentral:piRNA from 1 species